rnacentral:rRNA from 1 species
GGCUCAGGAUGAACGCUGGCGGCGUGCUUAACACAUGCAAGUCGAACGUGAAACCCGGUACUUGUAUUGGGUGGAAAGUGGCGGACGGGUGAGUAACACGUUGGUGACCUGCCCUGAGGAGGGGGAUAACCGUGGGAAACCAUGGCUAAUACCCCGGAUGUCUAAGAGGUUAGAGUGCUUAGACUAAAGCUCUGGCGCCUCGGGAGGGGCCUGCGGGCUAUCAGCUUGUUGGUGGGGUAAUGGCCUACCAAGGCUAAGACGGCUAGGGGGCGUGAGAGCGUGGCCCCCCACAAUGGAACUGAGACACGGUCCAUACUCCUACGGGAGGCAGCAGUGAGGAAUAUUGCGCAAUGGGGGAAGCCCUGACGCAGCAACGCCGCGUGGACGAUGGAGGCCUUCGGGUUGUAAAGUCCUUUUCUGAGGGAAGAUAGUGACGGUACCUCAGGAAUAAGUCCCGGCUAACUACGUGCCAGCAGCCGCGGUAAAACGUAGGGGGCGAGCGUUAUCCGGAUUUACUGGGCGUAAAGCGCACGUAGGUGGUGUCGUAAGUUGGACGUGAAAGCUCUUGGCUUAACUGAGAGAGGUCGUUCAAAACUGCGGCGCUUGAGGAUAGAAGAGGGGAGUGGAAUUCCCGGUGUAGUGGUGGAAUGCGUAGAUAUCGGGAGGAACACCAGUGGCGAAGGCGGCUCCCUGGUCUAUCUCUGACGCUGAGGUGCGAAAGCGUGGGGAGCGAACGGGAUUAGAUACCCCGGUAGUCCACGCUGUAAACGAUGGAUACUAGGUGUGGGAGGUCAUCUAACCCUUCCGUGCCGAAGCAAACGCGUUAAGUAUCCCGCCUG